ensembl:lncRNA
GUGGGAGAAAGUGAGAGAUGGAGGGAGAGAGAGGGAGUGGGAGAUAUGGGGAGAGGAGGGAGUGGGAGAGAGGGAGAGAUGGGGAGAGAGAGGGAGUGGGAGAUAGGGAGAGAUGGGGAGAGAGAGGGAAGGGGAGGGAGAGAGAGGGAGAGGGAGAGAGAGGGAGUGGGAGAGAGGGAGAGAUGGGGAGAGAGGGAGGGGGAGAGGGAGUGGGAGAGAGGGAGUGGGAGAGAGAGAGAGAUGGGGAGAGAGAGGGAGUAGGAGAAAAUGAGAGAUGGGGAGAGAGAGGGAGUGGGAGAAAAGGAGAGAUGGGGAGAGAGAGGGAGUGGGAGAAAAUGAGAGAUGGGGAGAGAGAGGGAGUGGGAGAAAGUGAGAGAUGGGGAGAGAGAGGGAGGGGAGAAAGGAAGAAGAUGACAAAGGAAAGAGAUGGAUGUUUUCCACUUUCAGACUUAACACCCUUCUGAUUGUUGCUUUCCUAAUCUCAUGGAGUGAAGAAGUGUGUGUGUGUGUGUGUGUGUGUGUGUGUG